UACGAAGGGGGCUAGCGUUGCUCGGAAUUACUGGGCGUAAAGCGCGCGUAGGCGGUUUGGAAAGUCAGAUGUGAAAGCCCCGGGCUCAACUUGGGAACUGCAUUUGAUACUGCCAGACUAGAGUACAGAAGAGGUGACUGGAAUUCCCAGUGUAGCGGUGAAAUGCGCAGAUAUCAGGAGGAACACCGGUGGCGAAGGCGGGUCUCUGGGCCGAUACUGACGCUGAGGAGCGAAAGCGUGGGGAGCGAACAGG
rnacentral:rRNA from 1 species